UACGUAGGUGGCAAGCGUUAUCCGGAAUUAUUGGGCAUAAAGCGCGCGCAGGCGGUCCUUUAAGUCUGAUGUGAAAGCCCACGGCUCAACCGUGGAGGGUCAUUGGAAACUGGGGGACUUGAGUGCAGAAGAGGAGAGCGGAAUUCCACGUGUAGCGGUGAAAUGCGUAGAGAUGUGGAGGAACACCAGUGGCGAAGGCGGCUCUCUGGUCUGUAACUGACGCUGAGGCGCGAAAGCGUGGGGAGCGAACAGG
rnacentral:rRNA from 1 species